CCUCGGGAGCUCGGGCCCAGCUCCCCGCACCAGUCGUGAACCUCACGGGCUCCGUAAACAUCUAGAGCAGCAAAGGCAGCACAAGCAAGUUCCGCCAGCUGGGGUUCAAAGUGAGCCUCGUGGAAGCCGCUGCUGGGCGGGGGAAUCCAUGCAUAGAGCUGGGAUGACAGCGCUGGAGACUGAGUGCUUGCUAGAGAGAAGACCUCUGAACUGCUCAAAAUGGAGAGAGAUUAUCUGUGACCUGCCAACCCAGACGCUACUUCACGACUCAAAGAUGCAGUUCCCCAGCUGUAGGUCUCGCUGGCAGGUAGCUCCGGUCACCAGGCUUCUUCAGAGCCUCCUGCGCUGAGAGGCAUUGCCAUGUCAAAGGCCUUGCCCUCUACCUAAGGCAGCCUUCGUUCGAUGAAUGAGGGACACAGAGUAGGCCAUGCCGGCCCCUUCCCUAGCUCUGUGCUGCUCAGAAGUGCCGUCCAGCUUCGCAGCUCACCUAUGGUUGACUGACACUUCACUGGGUGGCCUGAGGGACCAACUUCUGCUAAAUUCUGCCCCUUCUUCUUUCUUUUCCUUUCCUUUCUCUUCCCUUUCCUGCUGCCUUU